AUCCAAUUGAUGAGUCCUAAAUAGGACGAAAUGUGAGUCAAAUUGGAU
rfam:Schistosoma curassoni strain Dakar, Senegal genome assembly, scaffold: SCTD_scaffold0000227